GGGUUGUGAGGUUAAGCGACCAAGCGUACACGGUGGAUGCCCUGGCAGUCAGAGGCGAUGAAGGACGUGCUAAUCUGCGAUAAGCGCCGGUAAGGUGAUAUGAACCGUUAUAACCGGCGAUUUCCGAAUGGGGAAACCCAGUG
rnacentral:rRNA from 2 species